UACGUAGGAUGCAAGCGUUGUCCGGAUUUACUGGGCGUAAAGCGCGCGCAGGCGGCACUCUAAGUACGUCGUGAAAUAUCCCGGCUCAACCGGGAGGGUGCGAUGUAGACUAGGGAGCUAGAGGUCGGUAGAGGGGGGUGGAAUUCCCGGUGUAGCGGUGAAAUGCGCAGAUAUCGGGAGGAACACCAAUGGCGAAGGCAGCUCGCUGGGACGUUACUGACGCUGAGACGCGAAAGCGUGGGGAGCAAACAGG
rnacentral:rRNA from 1 species